CGUAGGGGGCAAGCGUUGUCCGGAUUUACUGGGCGUAAAGAGCGCGUAGGCGGACGUUUAAGUGUGGCCUGAAAGCCCCCGGCUCAACCGGGGAUCCGGGUUGCAAACUGGACGUCUUGAGGGGGAUAGGGGAAGGUGGAAUUCCUGGUGUAGCGGUGAAAUGCGUAGAGAUCAGGAGGAACACCAGUGGCGAAGGCGGCUUUCUGGACAUUAACUGACGCUGAGGCGCGAAAGCGUGGGGAGCAAACAGGAUUAGAUACCCUGGUAGUCCACGCUGUAAACGAUGGAUACUAGGUGUAGGAGGUAUCGACCCCUUCUGUGCCGGAGUUAACACAAUAAGUAUCCCACCUGGGGAGUACGGCCGCAAGGUUG
rnacentral:rRNA from 1 species